GACGAACGCUGGCGGCGUGCUUAACACAUGCAAGUCGAACGAAGAGCGAUGGAAGCUUGCUUCUAUCAAUCUUAGUGGCGAACGGGUGAGUAACGCGUAAUCAACCUGCCCUUCAGAGGGGGACAACAGUUGGAAACGACUGCUAAUACCGCAUACGAUCUAAACUCGGCAUCGAGGAUAGAUGAAAGGUGGCCUCUACAUGUAAGCUAUCACUGAAGGAGGGGAUUGCGUCUGAUUAGCUAGUUGGAGGGGUAACGGCCCACCAAGGCGAUGAUCAGUAGCCGGUCUGAGAGGAUGAACGGCCACAUUGGGACUGAGACACGGCCCAGACUCCUACGGGAGGCAGCAGUGGGGAAUCUUCCGCAAUGGACGAAAGUCUGACGGAGCAACGCCGCGUGAGUGAUGACGCCCUUCGGGUUGUAAAGCUCUGUUAAUCGGGACGAAAGGCCUUCUUGCGAAUAGUGAGAAGGAUUGACGGUACCGGAAUAGAAAGCCACGGCUAACUACGUG
rnacentral:rRNA from 1 species